AGUGAACGCUGGCGGUAGGCCUAACACAUGCAAGUCGAACGGCAGCACAGUAAGAGCUUGCUCUUACGGGUGGCGAGUGGCGGACGGGUGAGGAAUACAUCGGAAUCUACUUUUUCGUGGGGGAUAACGUAGGGAAACUUACGCUAAUACCGCAUACGACCUACGGGUGAAAGCAGGGGAUCUUCGGACCUUGCGCGAUUGAAUGAGCCGAUGUCGGAUUAGAUAGUUGGCGGGGUAAAGGCCCACCAAGGCGACGAUCCGUAGCUGGUCUGAGAGGAUGAUCAGCCACACGGGAACUGAGACACGGUCCAGACUCCUACGGGAGGCAGCAGUGGGGAAUAUUGGACAAUGGGCGCAAGCCUGAUCCAGCCAUACCGCGUGGGUGACGAAGGCCUUCGGGUUGUAAAGCCCUUUUGUUGGGAAAGAAAAGCAGCAGGUUAAUACCCCGCUGUUCUGACGGUACCCAAAGAAUAAGCACCGGCUAACUUCGUG
rnacentral:rRNA from 1 species